rnacentral:rRNA from 1 species
CCUACGAGAGGCAGCAGUGCGGAAUAUUGGUCAAUGGACGAGAGUCUGAACCAGCCAAGUAGCGUGACGGAUGACUGCCCUAUGGGUUGUAAACUUCUUUUAUCUGGGAAUAAAAUGUUCCACGUGUGGGAUUUUGUAUGUACCAUAUGAAUAAGGAUCGGCUAACUCCGUGCCAGCAGCCGCGGUACUACGGAGGAUCCGAGCGUUAUCCGGAUUUUUUGGGUUUAAGGGGAGCGUAGGUGGAUUGUUAAGUCAGUUGUGAAAAUUUGCGGCGCAACCGUAAAAUUGCAGUUGAAACUGGCAGUCUUGAGUACAGUAGAGGUGGGCGGAAUUCGUGGUGUAGCGGUGAAAUGCUUAGAUAUCACGAAGAACUCCGAUUGCGAAGGCAGCUCACUGGACUGCAACUGACACUGAGGCUCGAAAGUGUGGGUAUCAAACAGGAUUAGAUACCCGAGUAGUG